rnacentral:lncRNA from 1 species
AAUAAAUUAGUAUAUUCCAGCUUAUCAAACUGCCCCAUAAUUCUGAGGGUGACCUCUUUAAAGAAGGUCAGGCAUUGAGUGAGACAGCUACAUUUGGGCAGAGGCAGGGUUUUACCAAGAACACUUUCAGUUCCUGUUUCCAAUUGAGCCUGCUCCCUGCCUGGGGCCUAGCCUGAUGUACAAGCCCAUUGGCUGGGCUUGCUUAAAUGUCCCACACAAAUAUAAACACCUCUACAGUGUGGGGAAGAUGAAAGGAAUAGCUUAUUGAUAUUGUAUAUGCUAACGUUUGGAUGUGGGACAGGAAAGACAGCACUGAGCUGCUGGUAUGCAACGCUGAAGCCGGGCGGCAUGGAGAGGUUUUCAUUUACUGAUGCUGGAUGCGUGCCCAGACUGCCAUAGUGGAAUGCAGGGAGAAACACAGAAAGGAGGAGGACCACAGAAUGGUUUUUCGUGAACAUCCAUGUGGGGCAGAAGAAUAAAUACAUAUGAAGGCUAUGUUUCUAGAAAUGAAAGAACUGGCCACUGAGGAGCAGUUGGGAGCCCCCCUGCCCCCGCCCCCCAAGUCCCAACCUGGCCCUCUUCAUUUGUACUUGAAGAGUCAACUAUUCCCGACUCUUGGCAUGCACCUCCUGUCGACUACCAUAUAUGAUCGAUUUACCCAAACAUCGAGAGUGAGAAAGUUGAAUGAUAGGAUCCCCAAGUUUCCUUCCAUCCACGAAGAUUUAAGCCUUCAAUUGCAAUCAGUUCCAGGAGUGCUCCCAGUAAUUAUGUCCCACGAUGUGAUGAAAUGCGUAUCUCUAUGUACUGAAUGAAGGCUAACUCUUGCAAAUUGAAGGAUGCAGUCGAUGCGAGUCUUUUUGCAAUAAACAUCAUUGUUUCAUCA